GGAGCUGAAUUCUGUCACAGAUUAUCGCUGUCAUUUUAUAAUGUCAGGGCAUAGUAACAGUUUUACCAAAUAUAUUAAAAAACACAUUUUGUAUGAAAGUUACAUACUAGAGCUUUAAUA